rnacentral:rRNA from 1 species
CCUACGGGAGGCUGCAGUGAGGAAUAUUGGGCAAUGGACGAGAGUCUGAACCAGCCAUGUAGCGUGAAGGAUGACUGCCCUAUGGGUUGUAAACUUCUUUUAUAAAGGAAUAAAACGAGGCACGGGUGCCUUUUUCCAUGUACUUUAUGAAUAAGGAACGGCCAACUACGUGCCAGCAGCCGCGGUAAUACGGAGGUUCCGAGCGUUAUCCGGAUUUAGUGGGUUUAAGGGGAGCGUAGAUGGGUUGUUAAGUCAGUUGUGAAAGUUUGCGGCUCAACCGUAAAAUUGCAAUUGAUACUGGUAGUCUUGAGUACAGUUGAGGUAGGCGGAAUUCGUGGUGUAGCGGUGAAAUGCUUAGAUAUCACGAAGAACACCGAUUGCGAAGGCAGCUUACUAAACUGUGACUGACAUUGAUGCUCGAAAGUGUGGGUAUCAAACAGGAUUAGAUACCCCAGUAGUC